rfam:Nomascus leucogenys chromosome 18, whole genome shotgun sequence.
AAGGGCUUAGCUUAAGUAAAGCAAUUGAUUUGCAUACAAUUGAUGUAGGACAGAGUCUUGCAGUCCUUU